UACGGAGGGUGCGAGCGUUGUCCGGAAUCAUUGGGCGUAAAGGGCGCGUAGGUGGCCCGGUCAGUUCGUGGUGAAAGCGCGGGGCUCAACCCUGCGUCGGCCAUGAAUACUGCCGCGGCUGGAGCACUGUAGAGGCAGGCGGAAUUCCGGGUGUAGCGGUGAAAUGCGCAGAUAUCAGGAGGAACACCGAUGGCGAAGGCAGGUCUCUGGGCAUUAACUGACGCUGAGGAGCGAAAGCAUGGGGAGCGAACAGG
rnacentral:rRNA from 1 species